rnacentral:sRNA from 1 species
GGGGAACCGGAUGCCCCAACCACGAGAACGCCGGAUAAACUGGCUCAGGAUCCGCGUCGAGCGCAGCUCUCGAACCGGGUCCUGCAAAUGAUCAGCCAGCAGCCGCUGCAACCCCAGGGAG